rnacentral:rRNA from 1 species
UACGUAGGCAGCGAGCGUUGUUCGGAGUUACUGGGCGUAAAGAGUGCGUAGGCGGUUUCGCAAGUUUGGUGUGAAAUCUCCCGGCUUAACUGGGAGGGUGCGCCGAAAACUGCGAGGCUUGAGAGUGGGAGAGGUAAGUGGAACUGCGAGUGUAGAGGUGAAAUUCGUAGAUAUUCGCAAGAACACCAGUGGCGAAGGCGGCUCACUGGCCCGGUACUGACGCUGAAACGCGAAGGCGUGGGGAGCGAACGGG